CCAAGUUUGAGAUUCAGCUUUCGUUGCAGCUUUCCUCACCUUCUUUCCCUGGAUGCAUGGUGAGCUGGGGAUGCUGUGCUUCUCUGCAGGAGUAUCUUCCAAAAGUCAAGAUUUGAGAAAAUAAGAGAGCUGCCCAGGUCAGAGUUUGGUAACAAAUCUCCUGUUGAAUGUUCAGAAGAGGCUCUAGGUUGAAUUCAUCCAGACAUCAGGUAUGAGGCAAGAUUUAGAGAAGUGACACUGCUGCAGUUUUAGGCUUAAAUCAACCACAAAGAGCA